AUUGAACGCUGGCGGCACGCCUUACACAUGCAAGUCGAACGGCAGCACGGGGGCAACCCUGGUGGCGAGUGGCGAACGGGUGAGUAAUGCUUCGGAACGUGCCUAGUAGCGGGGGAUAACAUAUCGAAAGAUGUGCUAAUACCGCAUACGAUCUACGGAUGAAAGAGGGGGAUCGCAAGACAUCUCACUAUGAGAGCUGCCGAAGCCUGAUUAGCUAGUUGGUGGGGUAAUAGCCCACCAAGGCGACGAUCAGUAGGUGGUUUGAGAGAACGACCAGCCACACUGGGACUGAGACACGGCCCAGACUCCUACGGGAGGCAGCAGUGGGGAAUUUUGGACAAUGGGGGAAACCCUGAUCCAGCCAUGCCGCGUGAGUGAAGAAGGCCUUCGGGUUGUAAAGCUCUUUUGUCCGGAAAGAAAUCGCUUAGGUUAAUACCUUGAGUGGAUGACGGAACCGGAAGAAUAAGCACCGGCUAACUACGUGCCAGCAGCCGCAGUAA
rnacentral:rRNA from 1 species